AACAUAAAAGUGCACCUUAAAUUAUCUAGUUUUUUGCCAAAACUUGAAAUCUGGCAGAUCCAUCUAGGGCUCAAAACUUUCAUUAGAAAAUUGAUUCAACCUCGGAUCAUCUGUGUGAAACGUUUAUGAAAUAGGUUAGGUUAGGUUAGGUAGUUAGUGGAUGGUGACGGAGAAUUUUCAACCACCAUACAGUCGCACGACUACCACCUAUUAUAAGUAAUGAAGGCUUGGGGUGUAUCAGUGGUUGAACUCGCAGAUGACAGAUUUCUGCAAAGGUAUGGAAAAAUAACCCCACCUUCCCUACCGAAAUUUAUAUAAUAAUUCUUCUCACGUUGUUUAUUUUCUAUUCCAAAACGCCUAUUAUUUGCUGGACAGUCUCGUAUCUACCGAACCAUUGUAAGAAGAAUAGGAUAGUAGAUUAACCUUAUGAGGAUAUCAUUUGACGAGGUGGACGCCACAAAUAGAUGGCAGUGGAGAGUUGGCGUCCACAGCACGUCUUUUCUUAAUGUACAUCGUAGCUUGAAUUACGUGUUUUCUUAGCUUUGGUUGCCGAAUUACCCCAAUAACAGAUGGCGCCAAAAUUAUUUACAAUAUUAUAUUCAACCCUUAAGCUGUGUUGUAAAGUUUCUUAUUUUGAGUGCCUAUAGCAAAGUUGCAAUUUGAGUUCAUUAUUGUAUUGUGUUCGUUGUGUUAUUGUUGAGUUUCGCUGGUUGUGGAUUUGGAUUAUCUUAAUCUAUCUAUCUUUGAACUUGAAUAUAUAUUCCAUUUUUAAGAAAUGGCUGGAAAUAAGUGUGUUUAUUUCAAGUGUGGACUAAGUAAGAGAUCAGAUCCUACAAUUAAAAUUUGCCGAUUUCCUGUGAAUGACCUUACCAGAUGUCAAAAAUGAAUCAUACACUCGGGCAGAAGAUCCACUUGAAAAUCAAUUUUCUGUUUAUCGUCAAAGAGGAGUGUAUAAGAGAAACCCAACAGUGAAAGCAUUUCGAGCUGCAUUUGAAAUAAAUAUUGUCGCCAAUUUAAUGAGGCCACCUAGAAGUGCUAAUGCAGGGAGUCAACUGGAUGAUUAUGAUAAUAUACUGCUUUUACCAACAGAUGACAAUGAAGCACUCGCUUCAUUGUCAUCUGUUGAAGAAGAAUCAUCAUCCAAACAAACGGAUUUAUCCACCAAUUCAAUUUCUUCCGAGGUACAUUCAAAUGAUAUUGCGACGUUAGAAAAUUGUUCUGUUGUAUAUAGUAUAUUUUGGGGGUUAUUUAAAAAAUGUUUAGAUCGCUUCGAUUGCAAAGACUGUAAAGUCAGUUUAGAAGCUUCUGAUGACAUAAACAUAAAUAUGACAAAAAUAUAGGGACAAUUUCAGAUAAUAAAAUAAUAUUAAAUUUGGAAAAGAAAAUUGUUGGAAAAAUAGAAAAAAUUCUUCCCGAGUGGUAUGCAACAAAUGCAAUCUGUUGAGGUCAUAGGCAAUACAUUUUCAAUUUAUUAUUGCGAACUCAGAUUUUCAAAUAUUGUAAAACUUUUUUAAGUUCAUUAAAAACUAGACAAACUAAAAAAAAUGAUAAAUUAUCGAUAAUUCAGCAUAACUGAACAACCAAUAUAUUUUAUAUGUUUCUUAUGGUAUAUUCUUUCUGUUUUUUUGGUAAAUCAAUACACAAUCUUUUUUAUGUCAACGUUUCGGUAGCGUUGAUCCAGCUGCCGUUAUGAAGAAUAAUGUUUUAUGAAAUUGUUGGUCCCUAACUGACAUUAAUGAAAAAAUUCGAAAACUAGAACAUCAAUAAUAUUAUAUAUUAGUAUAUAUAAUAAGAUGGUUUAAGACUGAUGCAAAAAAUUGUCGUACAUUUUUCAAGGUCCAUUCACAGUAGAUUAUAUUUUCGAUAAAAGGUGAAUAUUGAAAUAUUUGUGUGGAUUGUGGUUUGAUUUCCAAUAUUCAACAACAAAAAGAAUAAUCAAUAACCAAUAAUAAUCAAAGUUUUUAUUUAUAGUAGGUGUUUCAGUAGUAAAUGUGAUUACUUGACUGAAGAAUAUCUAGAGCUCAUCGCGAGUAGAUUCUACACGUACUACAUUUUUGGGAUUUUACAGUCUUUUUAACGGAGAUUCAGGUUGUUUAGUGGAUUUUGUCCAUUUCUUUCUGUGGUCAAAAUUAAACUACUUUGUAUAUUUUCUUGAUAACACAUAGUCCAAAUGGGUCGGGUACUGGUUAUAAAAAAAAUAAUUUCCUGAAAACAAAAAUAUUAGAAUGUGAAUAAUGUUCCGAAGCAACACUAUCAUACUUUUUAACAAACAUUUUGAGAAUUUGAAAAAGUUUUAAAAUUACAAUAAAUUCACUCAAUUUGUUGUCCAUUCGAAUUUCCUACUAACAAUGUUGUAGCUGUAAAAUGCACAAGGAAUAUACACAGGACCGUACUACUAGUAGUUUCUGAUAAUUUUUUCAAAUACUCAGUCUAUAAUUAUUAUAAUUUUAUAUCAAUAAUUUCAUAAAAAGUGUAGUUAUUAUUGUUACUUUAUUUAAUAUUUCUGUUCGAUAUUUUCUAAUAAAUUCAUUUACUAAAA